CAGAGCAGAGAUCAGUGCCUGCCCCUCCUCUUCCCCUCACGAGGAAGCUGUAACUGCAGUGAGGCCUCCCCUCAGUCUCCUCCAGGCUGAACAGACCCAGUGUCCUCACCCUCUCCUCACAGCUUCCCCUCAAGGCCCUUCACCAUCUUUGUUGCCCUCCUUGGGCAUUCUCCAAUAGUUUAAUGUCUUUCUUACAUUGUGGCACCCAGAACUGCCCCCAGCAGUUCUGGAGGAAGUAAUUACAGGCAAGAUGCAAGCCCUGGCACACAACUGGAGCUAUCCUGAGGAAGAAAGGUCUGAACAGAAGCAAAGCAGGAGCAGGAGAGGGAAGCCACCACCAGCUUGCAGGGACAAUAGACCAUGUUCUGUGAUGCUGUGCUCCAGCUUGCUUGUGUUAGCAGAGAAGGAAUUAACCCUUGAAGACCAUAUUGCCUAUUAAAAUAAUUUGAAAAUUACCUUCUGUUCUUCAACAACACUUUAUAAGCGCUUGAAACACCACACAGCACCCCAAAACUGCAGCCAGUUGGAUCAGUGCAAUCCUUGGAUGGGUCCAAGAAAGGCUGGGAGCUGUCAGAGGCAAAAGACACCUGUGAAAUCACCUGAGGAGUUACAUGAGGACACAUCUGAGAGACACAGAAGGAGAUGUGCAGGUGGGGACCCUUGCUGGGGACACAGCUGGAGUUUCACUCACGGAAAGGAGAGCUCCGUGACUGAGCAAGGGUGCCUCUGAGGGACUGUGGCCAUGGGCAGGGACACUCCUGAGGGAGUCCAGGGUAAGCUCUGGAUGAGUAGAGGGGCAAUCUGAAGAAAAUGAGUAAGAAGAAAGGAGGGCAGAGAGAAGCCAUUACACCCAGACUCCAACCUCCUGCUCCAUCCAACCCCUCAACCAAGGGCUUAGGAGGGCCAGAGUGCAAACACACUGAAAAUAAGGGAGCUGGAUUGAGUAAGGGUGAAGGAGAGCUGCUGAAGGGAGGAGAAGUUUGGGCUGAAGGUGGGGAGAGGAGAGGAAAAUAGUUUCCACUGGUACAUAGACUUUUAUUUAUUUGUCUAUGUCUCUGAAUCACUAGAUAAAAGUUUAUGUAUAUUGCCACUGAAGUAAACCAGGUACAGUUUUAUGAGUUGAGAUUGUUUUGCCGGCUUUGGUAAGGCCCAGCAGUGCAGGGGCUCAGCCUCACCGUGGCCUGGGCUGGCUGCUGCUGCUUUAGCCUCUGAGCUGGUGCUGGUGCUGCUGCCUGGCAGUGCCCUGCGUGUGUGUGUGGGACUGGGGCCACUGCCAAACAGCAGCUGGGAGCUGGAAACAAGCAGGGCCAGGAUUAAGGGGAAAAAAGCCCCACCACGAGGAUCAUGCUCCUCCCACUGAGGAUGGCAGGGUGCUGGUGGUUUGUCAUUGUGUCACCUGCCUCUACUGCUCAAGGGGCAGGAAGCUGUCACUGCUUUCACCAGACUACGCUGGAGGGACAAGCAUGAUACCCAGCCAGGGAAAGGGGUCUGUAUUUGUAGGCUUUCCAGUAUAACAAUUUUAGAGGUACUAAAUGGGCUUUUUAAAAGUCAAUUUGGACAAUAAGAGUUGGUAUUCCUGAAACAGGUCUAAUAGUAAUGCUAUAUGUUUAUUUGAUUGUUAAAGCAUUCACCAACUUAGUAGUGCAUUUUUAACUCCUGAAAUAUAGGGUUUUUUGCUUUUUGCUCUUUAAAUUUUUGAGAAUAGCAAAGGUGGGCAGAUAAUGGGCAGGCUUCUUGCUACGCUUCAGCAUAUUUUUCAGGUGGGGUUCUGAGGAACAGAAAUCCACUUUUUCAGCUUGCAUGUCUCCUGCAAGUCUGGGAUUUAGUGGCAGGAUUGUCCUUUGUUUCAUUGGACUUUGCCCAGAGAGUGCAGUGCCACAUCUUUAAAUAUCCAAUAAAAAGAUGUCCCCAUGGAAAUGCAGGACUGGAGAAGACCUCACAGGAUUACCCAGCACAAUCCUAUCUUCUGAAACAGCAGAAAGAUUCAUUCAGAGGUGAGUAUCAGAGGCAUCAGAAGCUUUGAGAGCAAGCCUUUCUACAACUUUCCUAUGUGACAUUUCAUUCUCUGUGUCUGUUAAAGAGUUUGUCAUAACAGUCAUGAUAUUUUUUUUCCUUUGAAAUUGAAGUUUUUAUACAUUUGUCUGGGUUUUCUGGACUGUGGGCAGCUCUGAUAGAGCAAUAGUGCACUAGCUCCAGUACAGAUCAGUUGCCAAAUUCCAAACGUCUUGAAAAUGCAGGCACAGGACAAUGUUACAAUGGAUUCACAGGUCACUACUGCUGCCCAAACAAAAAUGCAUUUAUGUACACUCUAAGUGCAGAUUCCUAAUUUACUUUUGCAGAUUUCUGACGUAGAACCCACUGACCAUCUCUGCCUCUCCAGCUUGGUGUUCCCUACCUGGCCUGCUCCUCCAGGUGAGUAUUUAAAUUGAGAUCCUACUCAUAUUUUUCACUGCCCCUGUUUUCUUUUAUCACACUUCAAUUCCCAUUCCCCUUUCUUUCACUCACUUAAGCCCCUGUGACCUCUGUAGCCACUUCUCUCUCACCCUGCUCUUGCAGCUCAGCCUGGGGUUCCUCAUCUCCCACCUGCUGCCUUUGGUGCCCGAGCAGCUGCUGCUGAGCAGCCCUUGCAAGGGGCCCGUGCAGCGCUGCUGUUUGUGUUUGUGGUGGGGGAGCAAUCGAUCCAGGUAAUAUUUCUUCAGCCUUCUCAGAAGAAUGUGUCUCCAGACAGUUUCUAAGCCCUUGCUAAAGCAAGAUACAUUACAUCUACUGCUUCCCUUUAAUCCAUUAUGCCAAUUAUAUUGGCAGACAAGGACAUUAGAUAGGUUUGACAUCAUCAGUUCUUAACACACUCAAGUGAGUUGUCUUUUAUCAUCUUACUGUCUUCUGCUGCUUUUGAAUUGAUUGGUUAAGAAUUUGUUCCAGAAUCUUUCUGGGAAUUGAAGUCAAGUGCUCUGUAAUUCUCUGGAUUCUUCCCUCACCCCUUCUGCCCACACACCCCACACCUUCCUAUUUUCAAAGUUUUCUAUUUCUAGUCCUUUGGGACUUUUGUGGUUAAAACUAGGUAGACUUUUGAUAAUGUUCUUAAAUCCAAAGGGAUGAAAAUGGUUUGUCCUAAUUCCUUUUCCCUAGUGCUUUUGGUGAAUAUCCCUGCUGAACUGAAUACAUUUAUUUACUAAAUAUUGAACCUCUUUUUUUGGCUUAGUUUCCUGCUGGUUGUUAAAUUUAAUUUCAUUAAGCCUCAACAAACUAAUUUUGGGAGGAGUGAAGCCCAGAAUAUAACCAUUUUCUGCUAUUGUUCUUUUUUUCUGGCCCUUUAACUUCUUGACAGCAAGGGAAUUCCUUUAAUAUUUGUUGAAAUGUAUUUUUCUCAUAGAAGAAAUAAAUCCUGUUUGACAGACUGUAAUCUUCUUCAUCCUUCCUCCUUACAUGCCUAAAUCUAAACAGAGAAACAGUUCCUUAGAGAUGCCUAAAACCUUACAUUUGAAUGAAGCAAGUGUCUAAGUGUCUGGAUUAGGAGAGAUAAUUAUACAAACAUGGGGGGAAACUACUGUGUGGAGAUUAGGAGCAACAUUGUUUAUUAGGCAUGAUCACUGGCUUCAUGCCUCUUUAAAGCUGACUUUGGAUCUCUUCUGUUAGAUUGCUUCCAUCUUUGUACCUUUCAAAUAAGCAUUUCUCAUAAACAUAACAUCCAUGUACAUACUUGGAUUAUUUCAGUCGUACACCUGGGGGAGGGCUGAAAGAGUACUAAAAAUAAUCUUUCAAGUGGAGAGCAAAAGUGCCACAUAUGAGUCAGAAAAUAUUUCUGUAGGAACUACUAUUCCUUUAAAAUAUCAAUUUAUAUUUAUGUAGCACUUUCCACUGAAAGAUCCCUAUAUUUUUGGAAAUGCUAGUUGACUCUCCUGGGGUGAAUCCUAAGAACUAGGAAGGAAACACCUAAAGUUUAGAUGAGGAGAAUCAAGAAAAGAGCAUGAAUCACUUACCUAAUGUUACACAGAAAGCCUCUGAUGGACCAGAUUAAAGAACCAGGUUCACAAGUCUUUAUCUUGUUAGCCUUUCCCAGUAUAAAUAACUGCUUAUAGUAAAAUUACCUUUUUUGAAAUGGAGUUAACUUUGAUCUAAUCAUAUUAGGAAACUAACUAACUACUACUACUACUACUACUAAUAAUAAUAACAACAAUAAUGAAAUCUCUUUAGUACCCAUCUGCUUUGAUCUAAUCAUAUUAGGAAACCAACUACUACUACUACUAAUAAUAAUAAUAAAAAUGAAGAAAUCUCUUUAGUUCCUGCCUGUUGCAACUUCCUUUCAAGGAUCUGGUCUACAGAGAAGCUUCACUGGGCAUGCAAGAUUCCUUUCUUUUAAUUAGAACAUUAAUAUUCCCACUGUUUCCUUAGCUUCUAAAGCUAAUGUCAAUCCAUCCCCCUCCAGUCACUUGGCAAAGAAUGUGACGAGAGUAUCAGGAGGAGGUUCUUUAUGCAGAGCUUUCCAAGUGACAAAACAUAAGGCUGUGUUGUUAUACCUGUCUUUUUUUUUGUUUUUGUUUUUGUAUAGCAGUUCCCAUGCAGACAAAUUUCACAUUAUCUCUGUACCACAGCAGGAUUCAUUUGCUUUGCUCCUUCACUCCCCUGAGCAAUGUUUUCCUGUAUUUUGAACUGAAGCAAAUUAUGUCAUGAAAGUGUGUUUAAAAUCGUUGCAAUAUAACAAAAAGUUUACUUUUCCUAACAACAACAACAACAACAAUAACUGUAAUAAAAAGCCCUACCAAUAAGCAUGUUACUUAGCAACAUGGCACAAGGAGCUGAAGGGAUUGCCGGAGUCCAUUGGAAUUGACAAGGGAUCUGCAGGUGAGUGAUGGAGCCACCCUAGCCGGCAGCUGUGGGAAGCAGCUGGAAAGAAACGAUUACAAACCACCAAAAUUACUGAUAGAAGAGGGUGGAAUGAACUUCACAAUGAGAGGGAUAGUGUAAUACAACAACAGAAAAGAAAUAGUAGAAUGUCACGAAAAAAAGUGAAGGAGAAAAGCAAGAUAGAGUAAAAAAUUCAUGAGGACUCCAAGCAGUUGCCAGAAAAUAUGAUUAAUGUUCAUCCCUAAACAAUUACAGGAAAUAAUUCCCUGUGGUAAGUGUGAAGUGACACGAAUAAGAAGAUUUGGGUAUGAGCAUUUGCACAACCUAAAGUGCAGCGAUCCCUGCAACUUGUUCACUCACACACUUGUGUGGACUCGGGAGGGAGCUGGGAGCCAUUAGCUGGAUGUGCUUUAGUGACCUGUAUCCCAGCCCCACUGCUUAGCAUGGCAAGAGCACAGCAGGAAUGAGACAGUGUAGGGAUGGUUCCUCUCUGCUCUGUAAAUAUUAUGUGCUUGAAUAUUCAUGCUAUUUGAAUAAACAUUAAAACAGAGGCCAUAUCAGUCAUGGUCAGUGUGUGCACCUUUGAGAUCACAAGUCAGUCACCACAUGCUUUAAAUUGAUACAUGACUACCAGAUUUUCAGCUCCAGAUUAGAUGUAUACAGCCACCAAGGGUGUCUGAGCUGAGCCAGGUGUAUGUUAGAGCAGGUGUGGGAGCACAAAGCAUGUUUUCAUUUCCCAGCAUUUGAACCGGCUUGUGCUAUGUCUCUCACAGGAUCCAGUAUUCCUUUUUCAUAGUCCUUUGCAGUUUAUACUCAGACUUUCUAUGUAUGAAAAUGUGCACAUCGAUAACUGUUAAUAUACUUUACAUUUCUUUUAGUACAUGGGCGUUUUCAAAAUGCUUUAGAGUUUUCAUAAAAAUGAAUAUGCAUUGUGCCCAAAUUCUGCUUACUCUAAUGCCAAUUCAUAACUGUGUUUACUUUAAUGGUGGUGCCAGAUUUACACUGCAGGAUGUAAGCUGCUGUGCCUGCACCAAUAGUUGGAUGUGCAAGAGCACAACACAACACGUGGCUUCUCUCUUUUCCCCUGAAAGAUUAUCACCUCAGGAGUACAACAUGGCAACUCUAACAAAGUACAGUAGCUAUUCAAAAUGCACUAAUAAUCUUUUGGAAAACAAUCAAAAAAAUGGUAUGAUGGGUUGUAUUACUUCAAGAAGUGUACAAAUUGUGUAUUUGAUUUCAGAUGAUUAAUUAUAGCAAUUUAUUUUGUACUACAAGGGAGAGACAUUUGAAAUCACAUUUUUUAUAAUUUCUAAAGCAGAUGUUUAGUAUUUUGACAGCUCCAUUAUUUAGGUACUGAUAUAAAUUUACUUUUUUUUGUAUAUGAGAGAGAAUACCAAGUGUCUUUACAUUCAUGUGUUGUUAACUACUGCAUAAAUAUGUGAAAGUGGAAAAAAAAGGGCUUUCCAUUCAAAGCCACUAAAUACCUCUAAGUCAAUGCCAUGUUCCAUUAGUUAUCUUAGUAAAUGUGGGGCUUAGCAAUGCUUUCUAAUGAAUUUUUUGAAAUAUGAACAUAUAUUAUUGGAUACGUUCCACAUUGAAAGUAGUGAAAAUGCAUACAGCAUCAGUCUUGAGAAACAGGAAGAGAAGAUAAUCUUACCAGUUGCUAUGCUGGUUAAUCAAACUUAGAUCUGUUAAACAGCAGAUCCCUAACCGAAUUUCCUUUCUCUUCUGUGGUGUGUUGGGUACAGUAUUUGAAUGUCACAGCCCAUUUGUUUCCUCCUCUGAGUAUUCUCUCUGGCUUUAGGCUUUAGUCAUGAUGUUUCUGACUGUGAUUAAAGCUUUCAGCUGUGACUGGGUGGCUGGAACUGUAUGGGCUGAGGUCAGCAGGCCUUCCGAAACCAUCCUAUGUUUUUUACUGCAUGUCACCUGUGGUAAUACAAUGAAUUUGACAUCAGUAUUCAGGAAUUUCUCAUAGAUACAGAGCUCUGUGUACUCAGUUAUGCAUGUUAUCAGUGUUGGGCCUAGAGACUUCUCCUAAUGCUAAGUCAAGCUCAGUAUCCUGAUCCCUGCUUGCCCUUCUUGUUCUCAGCUCAGAGUUUUUAAGGUUAUGUCAGCAUUGCACAGCAGAACUCAGUGCUGUGGUUCCACAGCUGGCACCAAAGCAACUAGCAGAGGGGUGGAAAGCGGAUGUGGUAAUAGGGCAGUAUGUCCAAGAUGACAGACUUAAGGACACCAGCAGAGGUGCUGACGCUGGCAUGGAUGCAUACAAGCUCCUGCAGAGGCAGACUUCACUGCUUUGCUCAAAUGGACAUAGCCUAAAACAUCUCCUGCCAGUCUGUAAGGACCGACUUAUUGGUACCCUCACUCAGGUACAAGUGAACCCAGUAACUCAUCUGUUCAUUGGAUGAAGGCUUGAGAUUGUUUUGAACAACAUCUGUCAGGAACAAGGAUACUGUCAGGUUGUUUUUUUUUUUUUAUACUGUCAGUUUUCCAGAGAAAGUACAUGGCAUGUAUAUUUUUCUCAACAAAACCACUUCCAAAAUCUGGCAAUCUGGGAGUCUAUGUUUCCUGUCUCUCUCUUCAGAGAAAUCAAGCUUCAACCUUGACCAACAUUACUUUUGUCACCCUGUGCACUGGUGGCUGGUAUUAAAUUCUGGGAUAGCAAGAAUGGGAUGGGCACUUCUGUGGAACCAAUGACUACUGCUUGCAGGCAACUCAGCUGGGUCAAGCCUGGCUGGCUCCUGCUUGUGUAGGCUGCUUCUGGGGCUGGUUUCAUUGCUGGUAUCACUGACAUUGGUGAUGUACUGUGGGAUAACUUCUGUUCUCCUGCUUGAAAACAGCUUGUGUGACAUAAUGUCUAUGGUCAUUUUACCUAGCAGUUACCAGUUUUUAAAGGGCGGCAGCUGUCAUCUCAUGCUAGCUAAAAUGGUUGAUUUCAGAGUUUACUGCAUUUCUGGUCAGAUUUGAAGAGAUGAGGGAAUAGAAUGUCCUCCUGUUUCUGGUCCUCUAUUUUGUUUCCCCCUUGCUAUGCUAAUUUAGUGCCAAAUACUGUGCCCUUCUCUUCAAAUGCCAGUAAAUCUGCUGCAGCCUAGGGUUGCUACAUGUGUUGGUCUGACACUCUCUACCUCUUUGGGCUGUGUCAGUGCCAAGAACUGUCAUCUCUGCCUGUUUCAUACACUGUGUUUGUUUCUCACAAGUCUUUAAGAUAAAUAAAUGAAAGAAUUUGUGUAGGUGUGGGUUUUUUUUUUUGGUUUUUUUUUUGU